rnacentral:rRNA from 1 species
UGAUGGAGCAGUGAUGGUAUCUUACCAGAAAGCCACGGCUAACUACGCGCCAGCAGCCGCGGUAAUACGUAGGUGGCGAGCGUUAUCCGGAAUCAUUGGGCGUAAAGGGUGCGUAGGUGGCACGAUAAGUCUGUAGUAAAAGGCAGCGGCUCAACCGCUGUUGGCUAUGGAAACGGUCGAGCUGGAGUGCAGAAGAGGGCGAUGGAAUUCCAUGUGUAGCGGUAAAAUGCGUAGAUAUAUGGAGGAACACCAGUGGCGAAGGCGGCCGCCUGGUCUGCAACUGACACUGAAGCACGAAAGCGUGGGGAGCAAAUAGGAUUAGAUACCCUAGUAGUCCACGCCGUAAACGAUGAGAACUAAGUGUUGGGGAAACUCAGUGCUGCAGUUAACGCAAUAAGUUCUCCGCCUGGGGAGUAUGCACGCAAGUGUGAAACUCAAAGGAAUUGACGGGGGCCCGCACAAGCGGUGGAGUAUGUGGUUUAAUUCGAAGCAACGCGAAGAACCUUACCAGGCCUUGACAUGGAGAUAAAGGCCCUGGAGACAGGGAGAUAGAUAUAACUCACACAGGUGGUGCAUGGUUGUCGUCAGCUCGUGUCGUGAGAUGUUGGGUUAAGUCCCGCAACGAGCGCAACCCUUGUUUCAUGUUACCAGUAUUAAGUUAGGGACUCGUGAGAGACUGCCGGUGACAAACCGGAGGAAGGUGGGGAUGACGUCAAAUCAUCAUGCCCCUUAUGGCCUGGGCUACACACGUACUACAAUGGCGGAUACAAAGGGCAGCGAGUCUGUGAAGNNNAGCGAAUCCCGGAAAGGCCGUCUCAGUUCGGAUUGAAGUCUGCAACUCGACUGCAUGAAGGUGGAAUCGCUA